rnacentral:rRNA from 1 species
CGACUGCUAUCGGGGUGGCGCUAAGCCAUGGGAGUCGCACAUCCCACCGCCGUGGGGUGUGGCGAACGGCUGAGUAACACGUGGCUAACCUACCCUCGGGACGGGGACAACUCCGGGAAACUGGAGCUUAUCCCCGAUAGGCGGGGAGUCCUGGAACGGUUCUCCGCCCAAAGGGAUGGGAGGGGGUUAUCGCCUUCUAUCCGCCCGAGGAUGGGGCUGCGUCCCAUCAGGUUGUUGGCGGGGUAACGGCCCGCCAAGCCUAUAACGGGUAGGGGCCGUGAGAGCGGGAGCCCCCAGAUGGGCACUGAGACAAGGGCCCAGGCCCUACGGGGCGCACCAGGCGGGAAACCUCCGCAAUGCGGUAACCCGUGACGGGGUCACCCCGAGUGCUCCCCUUAUGGGGAGCUUUUCCCCGCUGCAGGAAGGCGGGGGUAAUAAGUGGGGGGCAAGACUGGUGUCAGCCGCCGCGGUAAUACCAGCCCCACGAGUGGUCGGGACGGUUAUUGGGCCUAAAGCGCCCGUAGCCGGCCCAGCAAGUUCCUGCCUAAAUCACCGGGCUCAACCCGGUGACUGGUGGGAAUACUGCUGGGCUAGGAGGCGGGAGAGGCCGGGGGUACUCCUAGGGUAGGGGCGAAAUCCUAUAAUCCUAGGAGGACCACCAGUGGCGAAGGCGCCCGGCUGGAACGCGCUCGACGGUGAGGGGCGAAAGCUGGGGGAGCAAACCGGAUUAGAUACCCGGGUAGUCCCAGCUGUAAACGAUGCGGACUAGGUGUUGGACGGACCUAGGGUCCGUCCAGUGCCGCAGGGAAGCCGUUAAGUCCGCCGCCUGGGGAGUACGGCCGCAAGGCUGAAACUUAAAGGAAUUGGCGGGGGAGCACCACAAGGGGUGGAGCCUGCGGCUUAAUUGGAGUCAACGCCGGGAACUUUACCGGGGGCGACAGCAGGAUGACGGCCAGGCUAAUGACCUUGCCCGACGCGCUGAGAGGAGGUGCACGGCCGUCGCCAGCUCGUGCCGUGAGGUGUCUGGUUAAGUCCAGCAACGAGCGAGACCCCCGCCCCUAAUUGCUACCCGCUCCUUCGGGAGCGGGGCACAUUAGGGGGACUGCCGGCGUCUAAGCCGGAGGAAGGUGGGGGCCACGGCAGGUCAGCAUGCCCCGAAACCCCCGGGCUGCACGCGGGCUACAAUGGCUGGGACAGCGGGAACCGACCUCAAAAGAGGGAGGUAAUCCCUCAAACCCAGCCGCAGUUGGGAUCGAGGACUGAAACCCGUCCUCGUGAACGAGGAAUCCCUAGUAACCGCGCGUCAUCAUCGCGCGGUGAAUACGUCCCUGCUCCUUGCACACACCGCCCGUCGCUCCACCCGAGUGGGGAGAGGGUGAGGCCCUGCUCCGAGCGGGGUAGGGUCGAACCCUCUCCCUGCGAGGGGGGAG